rnacentral:tRNA from 1 species
GCUAAUGUGGUGUAGUGGUUUAAGCACUAGACUAUGACUGUGGAGACCAGGAUUCAAAUCCUGGCUUGGGUA